ACGGCUCAGUAACACGUGGAUAACCUGCCCUGCGGUGGGAAAUAACCCCGGGAAACUGGGGAUAAUGUCCCAUAGGUUACGGAUACUGGAAUGUUCUGUAACUCAAAGAUUUAUCGCCACAGGAUGGGUCUGCGGCCGAUUAGGUAGUUGUUGGGGUAACGGCCCAACAAGCCUUUGAUCGGUACGGGUUGUGGGAGCAAGAGCCCGGAGAUGGAUUCUGAGACACGAAUCCAGGCCCUACGGGGCGCAGCAGGCGCGAAAACUUUACAAUGCGGGAAACCGUGAUAAGGGAACUCCGAGUGUCCGUAAAUGCGGACUGUCCGUAUGUUUAAAAAGCAUGCGAAGAAAGGGCCGGGCAAGACCGGUGCCAGCCGCCGCGGUAAUACCGGCGGCUCGAGUGGUGGCCACUAUUAUUGGGCUUAAAGCGUUCGUAGCUGGAUUGUUAAGUCUCUUGGGAAAUCUAUCGGCUUAACCGAUAGGCGUCCAAGGGAUACUGGCAAUCUAGGGACCGGGAGAGGUGAGGGGUACUUCAGGGGUAGGAGUGAAAUCCUGUAAUCCUUGGGGGACCACCUGUGGCGAAGGCGCCUCACCAGAACGGCUCCGACAGUGAGGGACGAAAGCUGGGGGAGCAAACCGGAUUAGAUACCCGGGUAGUCCCAGCCGUAAACGAUGCGCGUUAGGUGUAUCGAUGACCACGAGUCAUCGAGGUGCCGAAGGGAAACCGUGAAACGCGCCGCCUGGGAAGUACGGUCGCAAGGCUGAAACUUAAAGGAAUUGGCGGGGGAGCAC
rnacentral:rRNA from 1 species